GCCUUCGUGGUGUAAUGGUCAGCACGCUCGACGCGUAACCGAGAGGUCCGUGGUUCAAAUCCCGGCAAAGGCG
rnacentral:tRNA from 1 species